rnacentral:RNase_P_RNA from 1 species
CAGAACAAUCGGUCAAUCGCGUCUAUAACUAGAUGAGGAAAGUCCGGGCUCCACAGGGCAGAGUGCUGGAUAACGUCCAGGCCUUAAGAAAGAAAUUUCCUAAGGACGGAAAGUGCAACAGAAAGUAAACCGCCUAUGGCUUCGGCCAGGUAAGGGUGAAAAAGUGUGGUAAAAGCACACUAAGACGCCGGUGACGGCGUUCUUCGGUAAACCCCACUCGGAGCAAGACCAAACAGAGGGAUGAAGUGGCCCGCGUCGCUAUACCUCGGGUAGGUCGCUGGAGGUCAAAGGUAACUUUGAUCCAAGAUAGAUGAUUGACGCUCAGAAAUGAGUACAGAACCCGGCUUACAGAUUGUUCUGCUUU